rnacentral:rRNA from 1 species
AACGAACGCUGGCGGCGUGGAUAAGACAUGCAAGUCGAACGGAACUACUUUUAGUAGCAAUACCGAGAGUAGUUUAGUGGCGAACGGGUGCGUAACACGUGGGCAAUCUGCCGAGAAGUGGGGGAUAGCUCGCCGAAAGGCGAAUUAAUACCGCAUGUGAUGAGAGGCGACAUCGUCUUGAAAUCAAAGCCGGGGCAACCUGGCGCUUUUUGAGGAGCCCGCGGCCUANCAGCUUGUUGGUGAGGUAACGGCUCACCAAGGCUUUGACGGGUAGCUGGUCUGAGAGGACGACCAGUCACACUGGAACUGAGACACGGUCCAGACACCUACGGGUGGCAGCAGUCGAGUAAUUUUUCUCAAUGGGGAAACCCUGAAGGAGCGACGCCGCGUGGAGGAUGAAGGCUUU